UCGACCUCGGAUCAGGCAGGAUUACCCGCUGAACUUAAGCAUAUCAAUAAGCGGAGGAAAAGAAACCAACCGGGAUUGCCCUAGUAACGGCGAGUGAAGCGGCAACAGCUCAAAUUUGAAAUCUGGCCUUUGGCCCGAGUUGUAAUUGGCAGAGGAUGCAUCGGGAGUGGCCCCGCUCCAAGUCCGCUGGAACGCGGCUUCCUAGAGGGUGAAAGUCCCGUAGCGAGCGGUGUCCGCUCCCAUGUGAUGCUCCUUCGACGAGUCGAGUUGUUUGGGAAUGCAGCUCUAAAUGGGUGGUAUAUUUCAUCUAAAGCUAAAUACUGGCCAGAGACCGAUAGCGCACAAGUAGAGUGAUCGAAAGAUGAAAAGCACUUUGGAAAGAGAGUUAAACAGUACGUGAAAUUGUUGAAAGGGAAGCGCUUGCAGCCAGACUCGCCCGGGGUGCUCAACCGUCCUUCGGGGCGGCGUAUUCGCCUUCGGGCGGGCCAGCAUCGGUUCGGGCGGCCGGACAAAGGCCCCGGGAAUGUAAAUCCCCACGGGGAUGGUUAUAGACCGGGGUGCAAUGCGGCCAGCCUGGACCGAGGACCGCGCUUCGGCAAGGAUGCUGGCGUAAUGGCUGUCAGCGA
rnacentral:rRNA from 1 species